GAUGAACGCUGGCGGCGUGCUUAACACAUGCAAGUCGAACGGGAAACCUUUUAUUGAAGCUUCGGCAGAUUUAGCUGGUUUCUAGUGGCGGACGGUUGAGUAACGCGUGGGUAACCUGCCUUAUACAGGGGGAUAACAACCAGAAAUGGUUGCUAAUACCGCAUAAGCGCACAGGACCGCAUGGUCCGGUUUGAAUAACUCCGGUGGUAUAAUAUGGACCCGCGUUGGAUUAGCUUGUUGGCAGGGUAACCGCCUACCAAGGCGACAAUCCAUAGACGGCAUGAGAGGGUGAACGGCGACAUCGGGACUGAGACACGGCACAGAAUCCUACGGGAGGCAGCAGUGGGGAAUAUUGCACAAUGGGGGAAACCCUGAUGCAGCGACGCCGCGUGAAGGAAGAAGUAUGUCGGUAUGUAAACUUCUAUCAGCAGGGAAGAUAGUGACGGUACCUGACUAAGAAGCCCCGGCUAACUACGUG
rnacentral:rRNA from 1 species